AUGAAUGCACCCUAAAAAGAAUUUUCUCAGAUUGCUUCUGUCUAGAUUUUAUGUGAAUAUAUUCCCUUUUCUACCAUAGGCCGCAAAGCGUUCCAAAUGUCCACUUACAGAUACUACAAAAAGAGUGUUUAACUCUGUGAGUUGAAUGUACACAUCACAAAGAAGUUUCUGAGAAUGCUGCUGUCUAGAUUUUAUAUGAAGAUAU
rnacentral:lncRNA from 1 species